rnacentral:piRNA from 1 species
UCUUCAAAUGAGUCAUGAAGA